rnacentral:rRNA from 1 species
AUUCCAGCCCCAAUAGCGUAUAUUAAAGUUGUUGCAGUUAAAAAGCUCGUAGUUGAAUUUCUGUACAGUCCCGGUUCUGGCUUCGGUCAAGCCGUGGAUUGUGCAUCCGCUUGCAAAUCUAGCUCGGCCUUCACUGGUCGACUAGGGGAGUAAGCCCUUUACUUUGAAAAAAUUAGAGUGUUUCAGGCAGGCAAUGGCUCGAAUACAUUAGCAUGGAAUAAUGGAAUAGGACUUUUGUCCAUUUGGUUGGUUAUUGGACAUGAGUAAUGAUUAACAGGGACAGUCAGGGGCACUCGUAUUCCGCCGAGAGAGGUGAAAUUCUUAGACCAGCGGAAGACGAACCACUGCGAAAGCAUUUGCCAGGGAUGUUUUCAUUG